GAUGAACGCUGGCGGCAUGCCUAAUACAUGCAAGUCGAACGAGAGGAAGGAAAGCUUGCUUUCCUGAAUCUAGUGGCGAACGGGUGAGUAACACGUAGGUAACCUGCCCAUGUGCCCGGGAUAACUUCUGGAAACGGAUGCCAAAACCGGAUAGGUAGCAGACAAGCAUUUGACUGCUAUUAAAGUGGCCUUGGCCAUGAACAUGGAUGGACCUGCGGUGCAUUAGCUAGUUGGUGAGGUAACGGCCCACCAAGGCGACGAUGCAUAGCCGGCCUGAGAGGGCGGACGGCCACAUUGGGACUGAGACACGGGCCAAACUCCUACGGGAGGCAGCAGUAGGGAAGUUUCGUCAGUGGGGGGAACCCUGAACGAGCAAUGCCGCGUGAGUGAGGAAGGUCUUCGGAUCGUAAAGCUCUGUUGUAAGAGAAAAACGGCACUCAUAGGGAAUGAUGAGUGAGUGAUGGUAUCUUACCAGAAAGUCAUGGCUAACUACGUGCCAGCCGCCGCCGUAAAAC
rnacentral:rRNA from 1 species